UUUUUAAUCUUUUCUUUUAAAAAGCAUUCCAUGUGUACUUUACAAGUGGCCUGUCCUGUCCAAUCUCAGGUUCCUGUCCUGUCCAAUCUCAGGUUCCUGUCCUGUCCAAUCUCAGGUUCCUGUCCUGUCCAAUCUCAGGUUCCUGUCCUGUCCUGUCCAAUCUCAGGUUUCUGUCCUGUCCAAUCUCAGAUUCCUGUCCUGUCCAAUCUCAGGUUCCUGUCCUGUCCAAUCUCAGGUUUCUGUCCUGUCCAACCUCAGGUUUCUGUCCUGUCCAACCUCAGGUUCCUGUCCUGUCCAACCUCAGGUUCCUGUCCUGUCCAACCUCAGGUUCCUGUCCUGUCCAACCUCAGGUUUGUGUCCUGUCCAAUCUCAGGUUCGUGUCCUGUCCAAUCUCAGGUUCGUGUCCUGUCCAACUUCAGGUUCGUGUCCUGUACAAUCUCAGGUUCGUGUCCUGUCCAACCUCAGGUUCGUGUCCUGUCCCAUCUCAGGUUCGUGUCCUGUCCCACCUCAGGUUCGUGUCCUGUCCAACCUCAGGUUCGUGUCCUGUCCAACCUCAGGUUCGUGUCCUGUCCAACCUCAGGUUUGUGUCCUGUCCAACCUCAGGUUCGUGUCCUGUCCAACCUCAGGUUCGUGUCCUGUCCAACCUCAGGUUUGUGUCCUGUCCAACCUCAGGUUCCUGUCCUGUCCAACCUCAGGUUCGUGUCCUGUCCAACCUCAGGUUUGUGUCCUGUCCAACCUCAGGUUUGUGUCCUGUCCAAUCUCAGGUUUGUGUUCUGUCCAAUCUCAGGUUCGUGUCCUGUCCAACCUCAGGUUCGUGUCUUCCUUGUCCUCAUCCCGUCCCUUCUUCUUUCCCACCUCAGGAGUGUUACCAGCCAGGUCCCCCGUGAUACAACUCAGCAUUCAACGUCCAUCCAUGUUUGAGGACGUCGGUAGAUGACAUGGAAACCGGCCACAGUGAGCACUGUUACCUUCAAGUAGGUUUUGGUUUUAUUUGGGCAUUGUGGGAAUGGAGGAUGGGGGAUGGGAGUAAGCAUCUGCCUCUUAUUUCAAAAGUUGCAAUUUCAAAUCCAGAAAUAUACUUUUUUUGUUGAGAUUUUUGUUGUAAGCCUAUCCCAAACCUUAACCCUUCGAAGUUAAACACCUAACCGUAAGAUUUUUGAGU
rnacentral:lncRNA from 1 species